UGGCGAGUGUGAUUCCGCAGUCUUGGGCUGUUUGGCCAAGCGCCCGCCGGACAUGGUACGCCGAAGGGUCAUCGGCGUGGAGUCCUCGCUUUCAGCGUCCGCGGCUGGGAAAUCGGCCAUCGCUACGGCGGGAACUGGGACUCGGGCUGCGUCCCGGCCCUUCCACAUCGGUCCACCGCACUCGUGGGCGCCCGCAUUGGUGCUGACAUAAUUUCCUGACCUCUGACCCGUAUUGUCUCGCGAUUAAAGAGCUGCGCCUGGAUCCCUCAGCAGUGAGGAGACCUGAAGACCAGAGGAAACACAGCAAGUCCAGGCACUCCCACUCCUCCUGAGAGAAAUCUACAGCCACAUCCCUGAACAUCAUCAACUGUUGGAAAGAAUAAUUCCAAGUAUUAAUGGGGCUCACCAGAGAAGACAGGGCAAGGUGAGGGGGAUCUCCUAGCAGAGGAAACAACAUGCGCCAAUCAAGCAAAGAUAUUUUUGUGCAUUCAAGGAACACAGAGAGGAAAGACAGUGGCAGAUGGAGACGUAUAAAGCAGGGAUCCUGUUAUGAAAAGCCCUAAAAAAUAGGGUAUAGAGUUUGGGCCAUAUUUCAGAGGUAAUAAGAAAGCAUUCUGCAUUUUUAAAGUAAGGUUUAAAAAUGUUUCUAAUUAGAGAUACAGCAAAGUUGGUGUGAGAGGAUAAAGACUGAUAUACAUAAUCUGAGGAGUUCAUGAAAAUUCCAUGUAAAGCCUGUAGUAUGAAUUGGUCCUAGGAGACAGACAGCUUCAGGGGCAUAGAGAACUUUAAGCACUUUUCCAAGAAGAGUGAAGGGCUGGAGAAUAAAUUGUGAACUAAAAUAUAUUUUGUG
rnacentral:lncRNA from 1 species